rnacentral:tRNA from 1 species
UCUCUGAAGGACUAGUGGUUAGGCCACAGCGCUCUCGCCACUGCAGCCCGGGUUCAAUUCCAGGCCAGGGUA